CAUAACCUGGUUGAUCCUGCCAGUAGUCAUAUGCUUGUUUCAAGGACUAAGCCAUGCAUGCCUCAGAAUGACUGCAUUGCAGGAAUCUGCGCAUGGCUCAUUACAUCAGACGUAAUCUGCCGCAAAAAUGUUGCGGUUUCGCAAGAUUGGAUACCUUGGCGAAACGCCAAGCUAAUACAUGAACAAGAAGCACCC
rnacentral:rRNA from 1 species